GAUAGUUCGACAUAUAUUAAUGGACGAUGACAUUACCGUAAAUAAGUUGGUAAACAAGACGUCGGUUUCUAGGACAAACGACGUCUAUAAUACAAUAGACGUCUAUUUUGCCCUAACCAGAUGUCUAAGGGCCUGAGGUAGGCGAGAAGACAGUCUUUUCUAUCCCAUUGAUGUCGGUUGUGAGGGGGGCAGACUUCUAUCUGGCUG
rnacentral:lncRNA from 1 species